CAACUUUCAGCAAUGGAUCUCUUGGCUCUCGCAUCGAUGAAGAACGCAGCGAAUUGCGAUAAGUAAUGUGAAUUGCAGAUUUUCAGUGAAUCAUCGAAUCUUUGAACGCACCAUGAGGCUCCUUGGUAUUCCGAGGAGCAUGCCUGUUUGAGU
rnacentral:rRNA from 1 species